rnacentral:rRNA from 1 species
UACGUAGGGGGCGAGCGUUGUCCGGAUUUACUGGGCGUAAAGAGCGCGCAGGCGGUCGGAUAAGUCGAAUGUGAAAGCCCCCGGCUCAACCGGGGAGAGUCGUCGGGGACCGCACCGCUUGAGGGCGGUAGGGGCUGGUGGAAUGCCUGGUGUAGUGGUGAAAUGCGUAGAGAUCAGGCAGAACACCUGGGGCGAAGGCGGCCAGCUGGGCCGUCCCUGACGCUGAGGCGCGAAGGCGUGGGGAGCGAACGGG